rnacentral:rRNA from 1 species
AUUGAACGCUGGCGGCAGGCCUAACACAUGCAAGUCGAGCGGAGCGGCGGACGGGUGAGUAAUGCCUAGGAAUCUGCAUGGGAGUGGGGGAUGACGUCCGGAAACGGGCGCUAAUACCGCAUACUCUCAGAUGAGCAUAGGUCGGAUUAGCUAGUUGGGGGGGUAAAGGCCUACCAAGGCGACGAUCAGUAACUGGUCUGAGAGGAUGAUCAGUCACACUGGAACUGCGACACGGUCCAGACUCCUACGGGAGGCAGCAGUGGGGAAUAUUGGACAAUGGGCGAAAGCCUGAUGCAGCCAUGCCGCGUGUGUGAAGAAGGUCUUCGGAUUGUAAAGCACUUUCAGUUGGGAGGCGUUACCAACAGAAGAAGCACCGGCUAACUUCGUGCCAGCAGCCGCGGUAAUAC